GGGGUCGAUUUUGGUUUCGACUGCGUUUGCUUAGCCAGGGGAAGCGUGCCGGUGCAGGCUAGAGACCACCGUAAGCGUCGUAGCAAAACAAUAAACGCAGAGAAUAACUCUCAGCGCGACUACGCCCUCGCUGCUUAAUCAGCGACCUGCGUGUCUGUCAGCCUAGGUUCCGUCCUUGGCUUAGUGUCUGACAUCAUUUAAAGGACUUGCUGUUCAUUUAGGUUAGUAGGGAUGAACGGGACUUUUACUACUAACUGGGCUCAUCAUCUAGAGGAGUUUGCCCCAUCUAGAGAGUCGAGUAAAGAUUCCGCGCAAACUGCGCACGGAGAAGCCCUGGCACGGUGACGUAGGACCCGGGUUCAAUUCCCGGCGGCUCCACUU
rfam:Corynebacterium kutscheri strain DSM 20755, complete genome.